rnacentral:tRNA from 1 species
GGUUCUGGCUCAGUGGUAGAGCGCUUGCCUCGCAUGCAUGAGGUCCUGGGUUUGAUCCUCAGCACCA